AUGCAAGUCUAUCGUCUUUCGAAGCUCCGGCUGUGGCCCAACAAGCCGGCCAAACUCUACGCGAUCCGGCGAUUCUUGGGAGGCAGCGCCACCUCCCGGAUUCGAGGAAAACUACUCGUGGCUUUCACCACCAUCAUCGUCCUAACCGCAUUUAUCGUCAGCUUUUGGAGUCGCCGCCAAGAACCGGUUGGGCGCUACAGCAACGCUUUGGGGAAUGAAAGCAAAGGUCUAGAACUUGGCGAGGUAUCAGCGGGCCCAUUCACUCACCAUCAUUUCGAAUCAACUGCUCGCGAUGGUCUUCGAGCUGAGAUUAAAAAACCAGCGAAUCCUAUCGAUUCAGACAACGAGUCAACCACGAAUUUGCUUCGAACCAAACUGCCACGUCUUCAAAGAGACAGAUGAUAAAGAGAUCUUAAAAAAUUACAAUUCUUAAAAAAACAGACUCGAAAAGACUGCACGAAUUUAGGUUUUUCUCAUCUAAAACAUGCCCAAAAUUAUGUCGAAUUUUUCUCUUUCUUUUUCCCUACUUUCUUUUUUCCAGCCCAAAAAAAUGAGAGAAAGGUAAUCGUUACCAUUGGAGGAUCCGGUGGAUUGGCUACAUUGUCUUUUCUCCAUUUAAACCCUUGGAAAGUAUCGAUUCUUGGAGAGGCCAGGUUCUCCGGAAAAAAUCGAUUAUUUAGCAUAGGUUUAAAUGGAGGAAAUCCGGUGUUGCCAAAUUGCUGGAUCCGCCUCCGAUCAUUAUUCAAGGACUUCACCGCAGCGGUUACAAUGUCACAUACCAAUUUAUAUUUUAACUUCUUCGGAUUUUAUCAAGGGAGUCCCUUAAGCUUGAUUUGAAUGUCAAUCGUAUAUUUGUUUGGAACUCGUACGAUUUUAUUUUCAUAAAAAAUGUUGUUUUUUUUUUUUUUUUUUAAAAUGAAAACAAUUCUAAUCAAAAAUACUUCUGCUUUAAUUACUUGUAAACUUGUGUAAUUAUGUAUUUUUACCAUGCAAUAUAUUAAUUUUAAAUAAAAUAAUUUGCAUAUAUGUUUUGAAUUUUACAAUCGCCUCUGUAGUUCUCAAAUGCCGAUUGAAGCAGAAUCUUUUUGUUUAGCUCGUGAAAAUAGGAAAAAAAUAUGUUUUUCUGAAUCACGGAUAUCUGUAAAGUUUCUUGAGAUCGUCGUUCAUGGUUACAUUAAGCUUUGUGUACACAAGGAAGAAUAUUUGUACAUACGUUGUUUCUAAACUGAGCCACAAACUGAAGUUUCUAAUUUCAAGCUGUAGUUCAUUUGAGAAUAACAAAAAUCUGUUAAGAUCAGAAGUAAUACCAACCUACCGCGACACAUGAUGUUUCUAUUGAGAGGAAAGCACCUUCGGUGAAUUGCCUGCACAAGUGCACAAUCAGGUAGUGUAAGAUUUAAGCACCACGGGCACAACCCGUUCUACGGAGGUGUUAAGAGUCAAAGACAAGAAUUACUCACAAUGAUCAGAACCGUAAAACAUAUGUACUUCAAUACUUCAAUUUCGUUUGAAGCCUUGCGUAUCGACGAUGAAACAAAAGAAGAAAAAUACAGAAAAAAAAACAAACUAACGACGACUAAUUAAAGUACUUUACAUGUCAUACUCAAUUACCUAAUUAUUUGCGAUUUUGUUGGCCAAUAACAUUGUGAUACAGUAAAAUAAUACAUUUCUCGGAAAAUUGGCAAUGUCGCAAUAAAAAUCAGAAAUAGUUUACUUCAUAUUCACAUUAGGCAACGCCGGAUAGAGAGGCUAUCGAGGCUUCAGGUAUAAUUGCAUGCGACAGAUAUUAUAUACAAGACAGAUCAUAGACAAUCAUAUACAAGACAGAUAUACAAGAUAUUAACGAAUUUCAUCACAACACCAGGAUGCCACUAUUCGGGCUCCACGGAUGUCCGUGUUGCAUACACACAAGAGUGAAGGCGUUUUAACAGCUUCGUUGAACGAUUUUUCUGUAUAAAAAUAAAAUAGCGGCGGAAAUUUUGAAUCGUUGCAUGGCGCUUGUGAUGCUUUGGCCGGGAGGUGACAAUAUGUAGAUUAAUGUGAUCAUAAUGUAUUACGUCACAGCAUAGCUUCUCCUGUUUACGAUGCAGUCCUGUUAGUCUAUGUGAUUCACAUCGCGUGACUACCAAAAAGAACCGGUAUACAAUAUGCAUCAUACGUGACGUUUUAAUCGUAAGAGGUUACGUCAUUCUUAUCAACUGGAUGACUUCAAGAUGUGUUUGACCGAUUUCGCUCAUGAAAUGAGAUCUACUUUCGGAGCGAACUGCUUACGUGCGUAUCCAGGUAUGCACCCAGUGCGCUUAUCACGGCGUCAAAUGUGGACGCAGUGAGACGACCGUAGGAAAAGUACAUUAAUGCAUUAUGAAAAUUAUAUAGACGCUCGUCUAAUGGAUUUAUUACGGUCAAUGCGUUUCCGAUGGUGUAGUAUUUACCGCAGCGAAAGUCGGAAACAUGCCCGUGGGCAAUGUUUAUCAUUAACGGUAUUUACACGGAUGCACCGAAGUAUGUUGUCAAACUGUUCGACGAUAUAAUGCAUUUCUUGAACAGCGCGUUAUUCCAAUUAGCAGCUUGUCGGCUGUGGAUGAUUCAAGGGCACACCAUUGCCGACUAAUUUUAAAAUGAUGGAUUUUACAAUGUUUGACCGUUUCAGUGUUUGACAAUGUUUUACAAUGGUUGACCGAAUUCAAAGCUAUUGCUUGAAACUUUCGCAAAAUACACACACCCCAUACGGAAACAAAAAUCAAGGGUAGUUUUCAAGAACUGACGUUCAGUCUUUUGAAUUUAAAAUAUAAGUAAUGACAGGAAAUAUGCAACAUCGGAAACAAAGUUGAGCGUUCUUACCAUAUGUCACCCUUGAUACACUCCUUAUUUUC
rnacentral:lncRNA from 1 species